GGUCCCAAAGUCAUGGUUAAGUGGGAAACGAUGUGGGAAGGCCCAGACAGCCAGGAUGUUGGCUUAGAAGCAGCCAUCAUUUAAAGAAAGCGUAAUAGCUCACUGGUCGAGUCGGCCUGCGCGGAAGAUGUAACGGGGCUAAACCAUGCACCGAAGCUGCGGCAGCGACACUGUGUGUUGUUGGGUAGGGGAGCGUUCUGUAAGCCUGUGAAGGUGUGUCGUGAGGCAUGCUGGAGGUAUCAGAAGUGCGAAUGCUGACAUAAGUAACGAUAAAGCGGGUGAAAAGCCCGCUCGCCGGAAGACCAAGGGUUCCUGUCCAACGUUAAUCGGGGCAGGGUGAGUCGACCCCUAAGGCGAGGCCGAAAGGCGUAGUCGAUGGGAAACGGGUUAAUAUUCCCGUACUUGGUGUUACUGCGAAGGGGGGACGGAGAAGGCUAUGUUGGCCGGGCGACGGUUGUCCCGGUUUAAGCGUGUAGGUGUGUGUUCCAGGUAAAUCCGGUUCACUUUAACACUGAGGCGUGACGACGAGGCACUACGGUGCUGAAGCAACAAAUGCCCUGCUUCCAGGAAAAGCCUCUAAGCAUCAGGUAACAUCAAAUCGUACCCCAAACCGACACAGGUGGUCAGGUAGAGAAUACCAAGGCGCUUGAGAGAACUCGGGUGAAGGAACUAGGCAAAAUGGUGCCGUAACUUCGGGAGAAGGCACGCUGACACGUAGGUGAAGUGAUUUACUCAUGGAGCUGAAGUCAGUCGAAGAUACCAGCUGGCUGCAACUGUUUAUUAAAAACACAGCACUGUGCAAACACGAAAGUGGACGUAUACGGUGUGACGCCUGCCCGGUGCCGGAAGGUUAAUUGAUGGGGUCAGCGCAAGCGAAGCUCCUGAUCGAAGCCCCGGUAAACGGCGGCCGUAACUAUAACGGUCCUAAGGUAGCGAAAUUCCUUGUCGGGUAAGUUCCGACCUGCACGAAUGGCGUAAUGAUGGCCAGGCUGUCUCCACCCGAGACUCAGUGAAAUUGAACUCGCUGUGAAGAUGCAGUGUACCCGCGGCAAGACGGAAAGACCCCGUGAACCUUUACUAUAGCUUGACACUGAACAUUGAGCCUUGAUGUGUAGGAUAGGUGGGAGGCUUUGAAGUGUGGACGCCAGUCUGCAUGGAGCCGACCUUGAAAUACCACCCUUUAAUGUUUGAUGUUCUAACGUGGACCCGUUACCCGGGUUGCGGACAGUGUCUGGUGGGUAGUUUGACUGGGGCGGUCUCCUCC
rnacentral:rRNA from 1 species